rnacentral:rRNA from 1 species
UACGGGGGGAGCAAGCGUUGUUCGGAUUUACUGGGCGUAAAGGGCGCGGUAGGCGGUCGUGACAAGUCACUUGUGAAAUCUCCGGGCUCAACUCGGAACGGUCAAGUGAUACUGUCGGACUAGAGUACAGAAGGGGCAACUGGAAUUCUCGGUGUAGCGGUGAAAUGCGUAGAUAUCGAGAGGAACACCUGCGGCGAAGGCGGGUUGCUGGGCUGAUACUGACGUGAGGCGCGAAAGCCAGGGGAGCGAACGGG